rnacentral:rRNA from 1 species
ACGGGAGGCAGCAGUGAGGAAUAUUGGUCAAUGGACGAGAGUCUGAACCAGCCAAGUAGCGUGCAGGAUGACGGCCCUAUGGGUUGUAAACUGCUUUUAUACGGGAAUAAAGUAUGGCACGUGUGCCGUUUUGCAUGUACCGUAUGAAUAAGGACCGGCUAAUUCCGUGCCAGCAGCCGCGGUAAUACGGAAGGUCCGGGCGUUAUCCGGAUUUAUUGGGUUUAAAGGGAGCGUAGGCCGCCUGGUAAGCGUGUUGUGAAAUGUAACGGCUCAACCGUUGAACUGCAGCGCGAACUGUCAGGCUUGAGUGCGCGGGACGUAGGCGGAAUUCGUCGUGUAGCGGUGAAAUGCUUAGAUAUGACGAAGAACUCCGAUUGCGAAGGCAGCUUACGGUAGCGUAACUGACGCUGAUGCUCGAAAGUGUGGGUAUCGAACAGGAUUAGAUACCCUGGUA